UAAGACGAACCGUGCGAACGUUGUUCGGAAUCACUGGGCUUAAAGGGCGCGUAGGCGGGCCACCAAGUCCGGGGUGAAAUCUUUCGGCUUAACCGGAAAACAGCUUUGGAUACUGGUGGCCUCGAGGGAGGUAGGGGCACGCGGAACUUCCGGUGGAGCGGUGAAAUGCGUUGAUAUCGGAAGGAACUCCGGUGGCGAAAGCGGCGUGCUGGACCUCUUCUGACGCUGAGGCGCGAAAGCCAGGGGAGCAAACGGGAUUAGAUACCCCGGUAGUCCUGGCCCUAAACGAUGGGUACUAGGUAGUGGGCUUGACAUGGGCUCACUGCCGGAGCAAAAGUGUUAAGUACCCCGCCUGGGGAGUAUGGUCGCAAGGCUG
rnacentral:rRNA from 1 species